rnacentral:tRNA from 1 species
GCAUAGCUCAGUUGGUAGAGCCUCAGACUCUUAAUCUCAAGGUUCAAGCCCUACGUUGGGCA